rnacentral:misc_RNA from 1 species
GAUGAAGAACGUAGUGAAAUGCGAUAAGUAAUGUGAAUUGCAGAAUUCAGUGAAUCAUCGAAUCUUUGAACGCACAUUGCGCCCGCCAGCAUUCUGGCGGGCAUGCCUGUUCGAGCGUCAUUUCAACCCUCGAGCCCCCCCGGGGGCCUCGGUGUUGGGGGACGGCACACCAGCCGCCCCCGAAAUGCAGUGGCGACCCCGCCGCAGCCUCCCCUGCGUAGUAGCACACACCUCGCACCGGAGCGCGGAGGCGGUCACGCCGUAAAACGCCCAACUUUCUUAGAGUUGACCUCGGAUCAGGUAGGAAUACCCACUGAACUUAAGCAUAUCAAUAAGCGGAGGA